GGAGCUGCUCGAGCAAAGGGAAGAGCGAGCGGGAGUAAUUUUCCACGGAUGCAGGGAACAAUCGAGCCCCGCACGGUUUCUCGUCGUUAAAACGCUCCCCUCCAGCACUGCACGUUCACCGGCAGCAGACAAAGGCGAUAUGCAUGCAGAGACCGGUUCGGUCUUGCUCCACCCUCCGUGCCGAGGAGCCGAGGUGACGGGGAGGAGGAGUGGGGGGGGAUGCUCCUGUCAUGACGUGGGCCUCGCUCCAGCUCCUCUAGCUCGGCACGUAGGGGAUGUCAGAAAGCAACGUCUGAGUCAUCCUUGCUUAGCCGCAGCCCAGACCUGGCGCGGAGUCAAAAAUGCCCAGAUACUACCGCGCCAGUGGUUCAGACCAAGGUUUGCAUCCUUCUGCCAGACCACCGAAGAAGGCUUUCAGCAAAACAUCAAAGCAGAGACCCGAUGAAUCACAGGAUCCAAUGUUGAGGCUCCUUUUGUUUCCUCCAGAGAAAUGUGCCAUGGCUGUUAUACCUGGAGGUCAUGGAAAAAGGUCUCAUCAGAACUGCUGUGAGAAGUAUUUUGGCUUGGGAAAAACAUUUUGAAUGUGUCCUGCAUGAAUACAAUAACAGUGAAGAAAAACUGUCUUCCUUAAGCUUGGUACAGAAAGCUGAAUAGCAGAAAUGACUUCAAGGGGAAAAAGCCCAAAUACUUUCUAGCAAAAAGGACAGAAAAGCACUGGAAGAGACCGGCUGGGGAAAUUUUGGCUUCCCUGUCACUGGAAGAUUUUAAGAACAGGUUAAAUGCACUUCUGUCAGGGAUAACUCAUGAAAACAUGUGGUAUUAUAGUCUGAAUUAGAAUGAUAAAGGCUUAAAUCAAGCCUUAUACAGAAUUAAACCUUUACAUGGCAGCUUAUUCACAUUGCUUUGCAUGCAAGGCCCGUGGAAGAAUCUACUGCGCCAGAUGUUAAAGUUUUUGGCUUCCCGGGUAGGCACUAGCUGAUCCAACUCAGUGCUAGAUUUGCUGCUUCAAAGCUGGAUCAGAUCUUUGCAAUCUAAAGCCUUUUUUAGUAAAAAAUCAAAGAGUUAAAAGUUUCUGGGACACCGAGAGGGUUCUCAAAAGUAGCAAUACAAAUGACCGGAGUUUUAUUGCCAUCACAUUGGUGUUGCUUGGCAAAGAUAUAAACAACAACAAUGGCAGUUAGAGCUGUUCAGAGACACAAGAUAAUGAUAAUGUCACUUUGCAUUACCAUGAGAAUAUUAAAAUAAAAAAAUAGUUUAGUAUGAAUUGAUUUUUCAUGGCCAUCUCCAUAACAUCUCAUGGGAAAAAAGCAUCUAGUUACAAACAUGCAAGCACAUUUCUGAACCCAUAUAAAAUCUUAAAUCCACAAUAUGUAAACCCAACAGAAUGCUAAACAGCAGGACAUUAGGAAACCAUUGAAAGAAAUGCCCAGUAUAAUAUAGAAGAGAAUUAAACAUGACUAUCACUGCAAAAGAAUAGUCCCCCACAAACCUUUAUAAAGACAAGAAGAGGAUUAUCAACAAGAAGCGAGGCAGGAUAAGGACAGACGAUUUAGUUCUAUGUCGAGGGAACAUUUUUGCCUAUUUCAAAGAUGCUGUGAGGUAAAUAGACUUUUUAAAGUGACCCAAAGAAACCCUCAGUCUAUUUUCUGUAAAAUUUGAGGUUAGAGGAGGCAGCCUGAAAUGAGCAGAGGUGUAAAAGCUCUUCAGCUCCGAUUUUUGCCGCAGCAUGGCCUGAGGUUAGUCCUUUCUACUCUUUGUCUCUCAUUUUCCCCGUCUAUAGCAACACGAGCACAGCAAGUUCCAGCCUCCUAAGGGAUGCUCCGCUCUCUACGGGGACAGGUUUUAACGUACACACUCCAGCCCACUAAAUCCCUGACUCGAUUUAGCAGCACGACGGAGCAGUCGCACUGCGUACAUUGUUCUGACAGCUGUUGAGGACCGACCUGCUGAUGCUCAGUGCUUCCUGUCACAUCCUGCUCCUUAAAGAAGAGCUGAUUGCAUUUUCCUCCCAAAUGAGCUCAGUGAGUCUGAAGAGGGGCUGAGGCUGCACAGUUGGACAGCAUGAUAUUUGGCUGCUGGUGCUGCUUGACGGCUGGCAGUCGGAGAUCGAGGACAUGUCUGUGUCCAAAGUGAAAUAAAUAUUGCAUGGAAACAUCAAGGGGAAUAAGGAACUGCGAGCAAAGAAAUACAUGCAGUUCAUGACAAAGUCCAGGGAAAGCACCAGAAAGGCAAGGGACAGUUUAUAGAUAAUGAGCUGAACUGCAAUCUGCAUGCAAUUUAAAAGGACAUACAUGCAAAACGAUCCAGGAUUAGCCUGUGAAACUCACUGACAUAGGAAAGGACCGAGACAAAUGCUCAUACGGGGAUCAGACAUCCAUAGGAACAAAAGCAAUAGCUUCAGCAGCUGAAAUACCCCCAAAACAUAUUCAAGGACUGAUUUUCAAAUCACUGUCCAGUUUAUUUUCUGUAACCACAACUGCUCCCUUUCUUUAGAUGGGCUUCUGAAGCACUAGGUUUUCAGACCUUCUUCUGAACUACUUGGUAAAAGUCACUGUAAGCAAGAAAACAAACUAAAUAGCUCAUUGGGCUGAUCCAGAAUGGCAUUUUCUAGCUUUCCUGCCUUCCUUACAUCAGCUCUUUAUCUUUCAGCACCUUAGGAAAUCUGUUGCUCUUAAGUUACAAAUACGCGCUCAGCUCUACAGGGCAGCGUCCUUCUGCAGAGAUAAAAAGACAGUUAAUUUCCACAACCUGCCCAAAAGUCGCCAGAAAUGAGCGGCAGGAGAAGUCAAAAGCACUGUCUCGGAGCCCGGAGAUUUAACUAUUAGGCUGCCCUGCCUCUGCGACCGGAAGCCCCUGCGGGUCGAGUUAGCAUAUCUUUGCGAGAUUGCUGUACUUACACGCAGCGGGACGCUCAGGAAUAAACAGCUCCCCUAGGGCCCGGUUACUUAGGAAACAUGGGGACGGCCAACGUGAUUUUCUCCGGCGCGCUGCUGUAAAACAUUACAAAAUGGCCUUUCAGUGCUUUGCACCGAGCUGAACCUUUCAAUCAAAGUAAUGAACCCCUUCAAUUCUCAGCUUCUCCUAGAAGUUAAUAACAAACAGGAGGCAAUGUAGGUUAAUUUGUAUCUAGAGCAGCUUCAUAAAUAAAAACCUUCGAGAAAACUGGAAAAUUCUGGUAAUGGAAUAGAGCUGCCUUCAUUUUAAAACCUCCGCACACUGAAAUGUAAAUCAAUAGUGAUUAAAAUCAUGUCUUUUGACAGCUUGGUGACUUA